CAGACAGAGCGAUGAAUGUCUAUUUCCAAAAAUGCACCCUGAUUUCAUAAUAAAGACUACUACUGGGAGAGGUAAGAGCCUCUGAAGUACGAAGUUGGAAGCUUUAAUUUUUAUUUGAUACUGGAGGUAGCAUCUCUCCUCCUUUCCUUAUCACCACUCAAAACUGGAGAACACCAAGUCAGCAUGGGAGAAAUGGCAAGUUGACAUACGUCACAUCUGUACUACUUUCACAAGUUCCUUUUUGUCUAUGCAGAAAGUUCUGCUGCACUUCUUCUGUUUCACCGACCUGAAUUUUCUCAGGGUUUAGCUAACUGCUGGCAACUGCAUGGACACAGCCAAAAUAAGGACCCCGCUUCCACCGUGAGUGACUUCUGUGGAGCUGUCUGCACAGAUCAGUCAUGGCAGCAGGUAGCCCCAGAUUCUUGACAAUGGAGAAAUAAUUUAUUAAAAAUUUAAAAAUUAGAGAAAGCACUCCCUUU
rnacentral:lncRNA from 12 species